rnacentral:lncRNA from 1 species
AUGCUAUAUCUGCUUUAGAGGCCGAGCUGCAGGCAGCAUGGAGGAGCCUCUCUAUUUCUGUUCACCAGCUUGGAUUCAAACGCGUCUGUUUGGAAGGGGAUUCUUCUGUUGUUGUUCAGUGGGAUCUAUCAGGUUGCUAGAACCGAUUUUUCCCUGGCACCCCCUCAUCUGGUUCAUCCUCUUCUCUUGGACAUCCAGACAGGGGCGGCUCAACAUAUAGGGUGGCCUAAAGCUAAAAAUUGAUCGUCGCAUUCUUCCAUCUUCUUUGCCACCGCUCAGCCAUUAGAAGCCCGGAACUCCCCUACCGUCGGAAGCCUGGAACUCCACCGCCACCGGAGACUCUCCUCAAGCAUGGAAUGUUUGCCGCCGGAGAUCGAGAGACCCCCUCAAGCUAGACUACUAUCGUCAGAUGGGUCCACAUCCUCUCC